ACUGCUACUGUUAUUUUAUAAGUUCUUUUUACUUUUUUUUUUUAUCAUUCUGGCAUGGGUUAGAUAAGUAUUGUAAUGUCUCAUCACCCGCUGUGGUCCUUCAUCAUCUGGAAGACACACCAGCAGAGAAACAUCUGCUAACUUUGUUUGUUAUUGUAUAUUUCACUAUUUUUGGUAUAGUUUCCAUGGAUAUCCCCACCACCACCAUCACCAUUCAUCACAAAUAACUUGACAGAGGAGACUGGAUGCAUUUUAUUGUCUAUCAUUUUCUUCCAUUCAUUCCUUCCUGAUUGGUAUGGAUUUUACAGCUGGAUACCUUUCCUACAAGAAAGCUUUACAUCAUGGAUUGGGUACAGCAUAAAGCUGUCUCUCUAGGAGUUCAUAGUUUUGCAAGCUACAUGAAAAAAGCACCCAGUACACUCUGUAAAGUGUUUGUUAUUAGGAAGGGCAUCCAGUCGUAAAAACCAUGUUGAAGUAGAUGGGAACACUGAAAACCUUGGACUUUAAAAACCAAUAAUAAAAACUGUAAUCAUUGGAUGAACCAUAAUUUUAUGAAAAAAGAAUAUCCCAAGAAUACAGUAGAGAUGUGGCUGAAGUCUGUCAAGGCCAACUAUGAAAUGGAAGAAUGACCAACAAAGUUGGCUGUUGAGGUUAAGAACAUAGCUUGUGAAAAUGUGUAAUAUGAUAUCUAAGGUCACCAACCCAGCAAAUAAAUAUAACACAGAGCUUACUAAGCACAAUCUAAGUAAAUACAUCUUUGAAUAUAUCGUGUCACAACUCAGAGAAUUAACCAAUACUAGCAGUGAAAGAAAUAGUGUUUUUUUUUUUCUUUCUGCAUUCUACCAUGGAGGGACAGACAAAACAUUAUGACCUGGAGUAAAAAUGUAAAACAAAAUAAUAAAAAUUAGAUAAAAAAAAAAGGAUCUACUUUUUGAUUUUUUUCUUUUUUCUUUUCAUUUCCCUUCAUCCUUAAUUGAGGAAAAAUACUUUUAUUCAUAAAUCCACGCAGUAAAUUGAAAGCAUUGUCGUUUCAUUAGCAUGCAGUACUUCUUUCUGUAGUCUUCAUGAGACUUUUUAUUUUUACUUAUUCGUAUAUUUUAUUUCUUGUAAAACACCACAGAAAAUAUUAAAAAGAAUAACGAAAACAUGGACAUGUAUCAUUCAUUUUGCU